AGCCAUCAUUCCAAAAAUUUUCAGAAGAAAAUUCUGACUUUGUUUAGCAUGGAUUUCAUCUUUUCAAUGAUUAUCUACAGUUCUCAGAGCAGUGAAGCCCUGGAAAGCUCUGGCUCUGCUGGACAACAGUGGACACAAUCAUCCAAGAGACUCUGUGCAUGGAUACAUUUGGUACCAAGAACCUGUUGAGAUGGUCACAGUCACAAAGCAAUUCUGACCAUUUAUACAAAGAAGAACUAGUUGAGAGGGACUACCUAUAUAUCAUCACAGAUACCUGAGUGAGCAGCGAGAGACAGUAUGCUUUACAGAAUAAGCUGUAUAUCAGAUCUCUGAAUAGAGAUCACUUGCUUAAAUAAAAAUCUGAGAGACAACC
rnacentral:lncRNA from 1 species